GAGUUUGAUCUUGGCUCAGGAUGAACGCUGGCGGCGUGCUUAACACAUGCAAGUCGAACGGGGAAUGCUUUGACAGAGACUUCGGUUGAAGUCGUUGUAUUCCUAGUGGCGGACGGGUGAGUAACGCGUGGGUAACCUGCCCCACACAGGGGGAUAACAACCAGAAAUGGCUGCUAAUACCGCAUAAGCGCACAGGGCCGCAUGGCCAUGUGUGAAAAACUCCGGUGGUGUGGGAUGGGCCCGCGUUGGAUUAGCCAGUUGGCAGGGUAACGGCCUACCAAAGCGACGAUCCAUAG
rnacentral:rRNA from 1 species